rnacentral:rRNA from 1 species
GAGAAACCUGCCCCGAUCUCUGGGAUAACAGUUGGACACGACUGCUAAUACCGGAUGCCGGCUCACCGCUUCAUGGCGGAGUGACGAAAGAUUUAUCGUGAUCGGGAGGGUCU